UACGGAGGAUCCAAGCGUUAUCCGGAUUUAUUGGGGUUAAAGGGUGCGUAGGCGGGCUUUUAAGUCAGUGGUGAAAUCUCCGAGCUUAACUCGGAAAUUGCCAUUGAUACUAUUAGUCUUGAAUUAAGUUGAGGUGGGCGGAAUGUGUCAUGUAGCGGUGAAAUGCUUAGAUAUGACACAGAACACCGAUUGCGAAGGCAGCUCGCUAAACUUAUAUUGACGCUGAGGCACGAAAGCGUGGGGAUCAAACAGG
rnacentral:rRNA from 1 species